UUGAGUGAAAUCAUCCAUAUAUACACUUACUUUGUUUGAUCCUCCACAUAUUUUUGGAAAUUUGAAUGGGGAAAAAUCAUCACCUUAAGGAAGAGUCAGAGCCAGACAAUACUUUAUCACUGUCAGUACUGUUUUCAGCCCCACUCCUAGAGGUCCUUUGUACAUCCAAAUUCGGAGCUUUCCAGAGUUCCUGAAUCAGCCUGCUCCUGUGCUGUCCCUGGGGCUGACGUCAUGAGAUUUGCUUAGAUCUGCCAGAUACUGAACAUCAGAGAGGAAUAUCCAAGAGGAGAGAAAACUCCCAAACUGAUGUCCCAGCUAGCAAUUCUUUUCUUUA